GUAAGGAAUAUUGGUCAAUGGACGCAAGUCUGAACCAGCCAUGCCGCGUGGAGGAUGACGGUCCUCUGGAUUGUAAACUUCUUUUAUUUGGGAAGAAAACCUCUGAUUAUUCGGAGCUUGACGGUACCAGAUGAAUAAGCACCGGCUAACUCCGUGCCAGCAGCCGCGGUAAUACGGAGGGUGCAAGCGUUAUCCGGAUUCACUGGGUUUAAAGGGUGCGUAGGCGGAUAGGUAAGUCCGUGGUGAAAUCUCUCGACUUAAUCGGGAAACUGCCAUGGAUACUAUUUAUCUUGAAUGUUGUGGAGGUGAACGGAAUAUGUCAUGUAGCGGUGAAAUGCUUAGAUAUGACAUGGAACACCAAUUGCGAAGGCAGUUAACUACACAAAUAUUGACGCUGAUGCACGAAAGCGUGGGGAUCAAACA
rnacentral:rRNA from 1 species